rnacentral:rRNA from 1 species
GAUGAACGCUGGCGGCGUGCCUAAUACAUGCAAGUCGAGCGAAAAGACGAGGAGCUUGCUCCUCUGACGUUAGCGGCGGACGGGUGAGUAACACGGGGAUAACAUAACUAUAAGAAUGGGAUAACAUCGGGAAACCGGAGCUAAUAACGGAUAAUAUAUUGAACCGCAAGGUUCAAGAGUGAAAGACGGUAUUGGUGUCAGUUAUAGAUGGACCAGCGCCGGAUUAGUUAGUUGGUAAGGUAAAGGCUUACCAAGGCUACGAUGCUGAGCCGCCCUGAGAGGGUGAUCGCCCACCCUGUAUCUGAGACACGUUCCAGACUCCUACGGUAGGCAGCAGUAGGGAAUCUUCCGCAAUGCGCGAAAGCCUGACGUAGCACCGCCGCGUGAGUGCUGAAGGUCUUCUGCUCGUAAAACUCUGUUAUUAUGGAAGAACAAAUGUGUAAGUAACUAUGCUCGUCUUGACGGUACCUAAUCAGAAAGCCACGGCUAACUACGUG